UUCGGUGCGGGAAGAAGCUUCGGGUUGUAAACCGCUUUUGUCAGGAAAGAAAUCCUUUGGGCUANUACCCUGAGGGGAUGACGGUACCUGAAGAAUAAGCACCGGCUAACUACGUGCCAGCAGCCGCGGUAAUACGUAGGGUGCGAGCGUAAUCGGAAUUACUGGGCGUAAAGCGUGCGCAGGCGGUCAUACAAGACAGAUGUGAAAUCCCCGGGCUUAACCUGGGAACUGCAUUUGUGACUGUAUGGCUGGAGUACGGUAGAGGGGAGUGGAAUUCCGCGUGUAGCAGUGAAAUGCGUAGAUAUGCGGAGGAACACCGAUGGCGAAGGCAGCUCCCUGGACCUGUACUGACGCUCAUGCACGAAAGCGUGGGGAGCAAACAGGAUUAGAUACCCUGGUAGUCCACGCCCUAAACGAUGUCAACUGGUUGUUGGGAGGGUUUCUUCUCAGUAACGAAGCUAACGCGUGAAGUUGACCGCCUGGGGAGUACGGGCGCACGGUUGAAACUCAAAGGAAUUGACGGGGAACCGCACAAGCGGUGGAUGAUGUGCGUAAAUUCGAUGCACCGCG
rnacentral:rRNA from 1 species